rnacentral:rRNA from 1 species
UCCGGUUGAUCCUGCCAGAGGCUACUGCUAUCGGGGUUCGAUUAAGCCAUGCGAGUUAAAUGUUCUUCGUGAACAUAGCGAACUGCUCAGUAACACGUGGAUAACCUACCCUUAGGACCGGAAUAACCCCGGGAAACUGGGGAUAAUACCGGAUAAGCCAUAGACGCUGGAAUGCCCUAUGGUUCAAAGCUCCGGCGCCUAAGGAUGGAUCUGCGGUCUAUCAGGUUGUAGUGGGUGUAACGUACCUACUAGCCGACGACGGAUACGGGUUGUGAGAGCAAGAGCCCGGAGAUGGAUUCUGAGACACGAAUCCAGGCCCUACGGGGUGCAGCAGGCGCGAACACUUUACAAUGCGGGAAACCGCGAUAAGGGAACCCCGAGUGCCAGCAUCAAAUGUUGGCUGUCCAGAUGAUUAAAAAUCAUUUGUUAGCAAGGGCCGGGCAAGACCGGUGCCAGCCGCCGCGGUAACACCGGCGGCCCGAGUGGUAGCCGUUUUUAUUGGGUCUAAAGGGUCCGUAGCCGGCCUGAUAAGUCCUUUGGGAAAUCUGGCAGCUUAACUGUCAGGCUUCUAAGGGAUACUGUCAGGCUUGGGACCGGAAGAGGUAAGGGGUACUCCAGGGGUAGGAGUGAAAUCUUGUAAUCCCUGGGGGACCAUCUGUGGCGAAGGCGCCUUACCAGAACGGGUCCGACGGUGAGGGACGAAAGCUAGGGGAGCAAACCGGAUUAGAUACCCGGGUAGUCCUAGCUGUAAACGAUGCUCGCUAGGUGUCAGACACGGUGCGACCGUGUUUGGUGCCGCAGGGAAGCCGUUAAGCGAGCCACCUGGGAAGUACGGUCGCAAGGCUGAAACUUAAAGGAAUUGGCGGGGGAGCAC